CCCGGCCAUGGUCGGGGCCGCCCGGGCGGUUGCGGACAACGGCAGCAGCGACGGGAGGAGGAGUUGCACGGAUUCAAGAGCUUGAGCUCCAAAACACACAGUAAGUGAUUGUAUUACGAGUCUCACAGCUUGUUCGUUGGCAGCGCCAAAUAUGUGAUGCAGACUGAUGCAAACCGAAGAGCGCAGGGCUACACCUCUUAAACUGAUCUCAGGGAUAUUUUUACAUGCAAGUGGGUUUAUAUCGUCAUUCCUAUACAAGCAUUUUGCAUCACUGCACUCGUUUCACUUGAAAAAUAUCUGGGGGCUGCUCUAAUGCACUGGGAGAUAGAAUAUUAACCCGGAUCAGCAGAACUCACAUGCAGUGUUCAGGAGGGUGUCUGGGAACAACAGACCAGAGCGAUAAAGAGGCAUCCAUGCUUUCAGCUUUCCCUUUGUCACUGCAGAAAAAAGUCACAAAGAUUCACUGGCUUCCUGGAGUUUGUUUUUGGCUUUGCCAAAAUAAACUUUUAUGUCUGUAUGGAAUUGCAUUUGGUGGGGGAAAAAAAGCAAUAAAGAAUUUAUUCAGAUUGUGUUAAUUGUGGACUGCAUUAUAUCCCAGAGAAAGAGGGCAUGAACUGAGGACCUAUGGCUUCCUCAGCUGCUCUGUAAGCCUGGGUAAAGGAUUUCACUAAACAUGGCUGUAUUUUGACUGUCACUUAAAAUGGAAAUAAAGAUACUUUGGUUUUAAGCAA